rnacentral:rRNA from 1 species
UAAAACGUAGGAGGCGAGCGUUAUCCGGAGUUACUGGGCGUAAAGCGCGCGCAGGCGGUUCGUUAAGUGGGGCGUGAAAGCCCCGCGCUAAACGCGGGGAGGACGAACCAUACUGAUGGACUGGAGUGGAGCAGAGGGACAUGGAAUUCCGGGUGUAGCGGUGAAAUGUGCAGAUAUCCGGAGGAACACCAGAGGUGAAAACGGUGUCCUGGGCUCACACUGACGCUGAGGCGCGAAAGCGUGGGGAGCGAACGGGAUUAGAGACCCCGGUAGUCCACGCCGUAAACGAUGCCAACUGGAUGCCUGUUCUCCGAAAGGGGAGUGGGUGUCGGAGCUAACGCGGUAAGUUGGCCGCCUGGGGAGUACGGUCGCAAGGCUAAAACUCAAAGGAAUUGACGG